GCCGGGCGGUGGCGCGUGCCUGUAGUCCCAGCUACUGGGGAGGCUGAGGCUGAAGGAUUGCUUGAGUCCAGGAGUUCUGGGCUGUAGUGCGCUAUGCCAAUUGGGUGUCUGCACUAAGUCCGGCAUCGAUAGGUAACUUCUCAGGAGCGGGGGACCACAGGUUGCCAAAGCAGGGGUGAACCAGCCCAGGUCAGAAACGGAGCAGGUCAAAACUCCUGUGCUGAUCAGUAGUGGGAUGGUGCCUGUGAAUAGCCACUGCACUCCAGCCUGGGCAACAUAGUGAGACUCUGUCUCUU
ensembl:misc_RNA Metazoa_SRP Metazoan signal recognition particle RNA